rnacentral:rRNA from 1 species
UGGGGAAUAUUGCACAAUGGGCGCAAGCCUGAUGCAGCCAUGCCGCGUGUAUGAAGAAGGCCUUCGGGUUGUAAAGUACUUUCAGCGGGGAGGAAGGGAGUAAAGUUAAUACCUUUGCUCAUUGACGUUACCCGCAGAAGAAGCACCGGCUAACUCCGUGCCAGCAGCCGCGGUAAUACGGAGGGUGCAAGCGUUAAUCGGAAUUACUGGGCGUAAAGCGCACGCAGGCGGUUUGUUAAGUCAGAUGUGAAAUCCCCGGGCUCAACCUGGGAGCUGCGUCUGAUACUGGCGAGCUUGAGUCUCGUAGAGGGGGGUAGAAUUCCAGGUGUAGCGGUGAAAUGCGUAGAGAUCUGGAGGAAUACCGGUGGCGAAGGCGGCCCCCUGGACAAAGACUGACGCUCAGGGGCGAAAGCGUGGGGAGCAAACAGG